UGAUAUUCGACCCAGAACAUUUAGGAAACAUUUCUUGUUUCUCUUGGGAAAUAAAUUUAUUGGAGGCAGGAGGCUUUUCUCCCUCAGAGCUGCAACAUGGCGGCUCCAUGCUACCGAGGGUCUGUCUGGAUUGCCACGUUUUGUCAGAGAGAAUUCCUGGACGCAACUGUCAAGAAAGCAGGGAGGCGCACAUUUCAAACCCUGCUCUUGUGACAGGGGUUGGAAAGAGUGGCGCUUGGCACCUAGUUUGGGGAGCAGUAGCUGGGGGUGUCUCUUCCGCAGAGCUUCAUCUUUCCUGUUGUAGCAAUAAAGGGCAGUUGGCUUUUAAGGCCUGUUGCUCCUUGUGUUCCUUCCUGCCACUCCACAUAUAGGAGAUACUCCCUGUGGGCUAAGAGGGGCCUUCAAGGUGCUGCAUCAAGCAGUGAGAGUUCUAGAGCAAAGUGGGACCCCAACAAGGCCUCUAGAGAAAAGGGCCCCCCUCCGUGCUUCUACUUCACAGCUAAUCCCAGAGGCCCACUACCACCCCCACGAUUCUAGAGAUGAUCCAGAAAGGAGGAGAAGGGAUUUUCUGAGCCAUACAUAGAGAGCCAGCCUAGCCAAUCAGCAGCACUAGUGCCAGACAAAGGAUUCGGAAUUGGAGCCUGUUGACCAAUGCUGUUUUACAAGAUCAACUUCCACUUCCAGUUGACCAAGAGGCAUCUCGAAAUGGAGGUCACUGUGUCAUUGUAGUGGACUCUUUCAUUCAUAUUUCUACUUCACGGACUUCAUUGCUUCUUUUGAAUAUACCGUGUAUGGAUUAACUUGUUCAUGUGUUGUACUCACUUCCACAUUAUGGACUUUAUUGCUCCUCUCUGAAUAUAUAAUUGUUUUAGCAAUAUUUUCCAUUUUACUUACACUGAAUAUAUUUUCUACUAUAGAAUCAUUCUACUAGAUUAUGUUCAUUCUCUCCCCCUGCCACCUUAUAGGUCAGUCUGGUGGGAGAGUCUUCUUGGUUUCUUGUGGUACAUAUAUAGAAAUUGGUGACUUUUUAUGGUAUCCCUAGAAUCGGAGCCUUUCACUUUUUAAAGAGCAAGUUCCUAAUCUCUUUAGUGACCAGUCUGGAAAGUGUUCCUGCUUUGUUUCAGCUCAUACUUCUUGUCUGAACAUGCAUGCAGAUAAAUUCUGAUUUUAUUUAUAUUGGUUGAUAAAUCAGUGAUGUAAUGCAUGUAUUAAUAAUUCAGUUCUCUUCAAGAGACCCUGUAUUGCACAAAAAUAAAAGUUGGUACACAUCAAAA